GACGAACCGAGCGAACGUUAUUCGGAAUCACUGGGCUUAAAGGGUGCGUAGGCGGGCUGUCAAGUCUGGGGUGAAAUCCCACGGCUCAACCGUGGAACUGCCUCAGAUACUGAUGGCCUCGAGGGAGGUAGGGGCAUGCGGAACUGUAGGUGGAGCGGUGAAAUGCGUUGAUAUCUACAGGAACUCCGGUGGCGAAAGCGGCGUGCUGGACCUCUUCUGACGCUGAGGCACGAAAGCUAGGGGAGCAAACGGG
rnacentral:rRNA from 1 species